rnacentral:rRNA from 1 species
UACGUAGGGUGCAAGCGUUGUCCGGAAUCAUUGGGCGUAAAGCGCGCGUAGGUGGCCUCAUAAGUCCGCUGUGAAAGUCCAAGGCUCAACCUUGGAAAGCCGGUGGAUACUGUGAGGCUAGAGUACGGAAGAGGCGAGUGGAAUUCCUGGUGUAGCGGUGGAAUGCGCAGAUAUCAGGAGGGACACCAAUAGCGAAGGCAGCUCGCUGGGACGUUACUGACACUGAGGCGCGAAAGCGUGGGGAGCGAACAGG